UGUAUCUUUAGGUAUUUAAAUACAAGUAAUCAAAAUGUACCCUCAAGUGGCUCCUUAAGCCAGUUGAGGGUAGAUGAAAACAUUACAUGAUCAAAUAAUGUAGAAUAUAGUCAGGUCCUUCAGUGACAGGUUCAGGCGUUUUUGUAUUUGGUUGGUUAACCAAUAAAUGUUACCAACUACCUGAAACUUUACAAAUUAUUUGUUUACUUUUAUUUAAAUACUUAAAAGAUACAGAGUAUAGACGGUUCAAGAUUUUGCAUGCGAUUUACGUUACAUUACAAUUUACAGUAUUUGGUCGGUCGACUGAAUUGCGUACUCUGUAAUCAGCAAUAUCGAACAUUGUAUGCAAGUUCUUGCCCCAUCUAUAUGGGGCUUUACAGAAAGUCGGUAGAGCAGGAGUGAAACUCUAUCUUUAUGACUGUGUUUGAGCGACGUACGUGAGUUGUUACCCUAUGACGGUCUUUCCUGCAAUAAAUUUAAUAUGCCGGUCUUCCCCACAUUGUACUUAUGUCCAGUUUUUUUUUAUAAAUGUGUAGUGGUCACUAUGAUCUCGAGUAUAUUUACUUUAGAAAUGUAAUUUAAGUUUAAAUUCGUCCAUUAGCAAAUGUAAGCUUUAAGAUUGUAAUGUACUUACGUACGUUUAGUUUUAUUCAUAAUUAUGAAUGUUUUAAAAAUUGUGGAAGUUUAUGACCUAAGUGCCUUAAUUAUAAAAGUAUUUGUAAUAAAGUGACUAAUUUUA